rnacentral:rRNA from 2 species
GGUUAAGCGACUAAGCGUACACGGUGGAUGCCCUGGCAGUCAGAGGCGAUGAAGGACGUGCUAAUCUGCGAUAAGCGUCGGUAAGGUGAUAUGAACCGUUAUAACCGGCGAUUUCCGAAUGGGGAAACCCAGUGUGAUCCGUCACACUAUCAUUACGUGAAUACAUAGCGUAAUGAAGCGAACCGGGGGAACUGAAACAUCUAAGUACCCCGAGGAAAAGAAAUCAACCGAGAUUCCCCCAGUAGCGGCGAGCGAACGGGGAGCAGCCCAGAGUCUGAAUCAGCAUGUGUGUUAGUGGAACGGUCUGGAAAGUCCG